GACGUAGGUGGCAAACGUUAUCCGGAAUUAUUGGGCGUAGAGGGUGCGUAGAUGGCCUGAUAAGUUAGCAGUGGGAAAUCGAGGCUCAACCUCGUGGAAGCUGGUAAUACUGUCAGGCUCGAGUGCAGGAGAGGUUAACGGAACUCCAUGUGGAGCGGUAAAAUGUGUAGAUAUAUGGAAGAACACCAAUAACGGCGAAGGCAGUUAACUAUUCUGUUACUGACAUUGAGGCACGAAAGCGUGGGGAGCAAAACGG
rnacentral:rRNA from 1 species